rnacentral:rRNA from 1 species
AAACCAACAGGGAUUGCCCCAGUAGCGGCGAGUGAAGCGGCAAGAGCUCAGAUUUGAAAUCGUGUUUCGGCACGAGUUGUAGAGUGUAGGCGGGAGUGUCUGCGGCGGGCAGUGUCCAAGUCCCUUGGAACAGGGCGCCAGUGAGGGUGAGAGCCCCGUGGGAUGCUGCGCAAAGCUUUGAGACCCUGCUGACGAGUCGAGUUGUUUGGGAAUGCAGCUCCAAGCGGGUGGUAAAUUCCAUCUAAGGCUAAAUACUGGCGAGAGACCGAUAGCGAACAAGUACUGUGAAGGAAAGAUGAAAAGCACUUUGAAAAGAGAGUGAAACAGCACGUGAAAUUGUUGAAAGGGAAGGGUAUUGGGCCCGACAUGGGGAGUGCGCACCGUUGCCUCUUGUAGGCGGCGCUCUGGGCGCUCUCUGGGCCAGCAUCGGUUCUUGCUGCAGGAGAAGGGGUGCCGGAACGUGGCUCUUCGGAGUGUUACAGCCGGGGCCAGAUGCUGCGUGCGGGGACCGAGGGCUGCGACAUAUGUCUCGGAUGCUGGCACAACGGCGCAAUACCGC